rnacentral:RNase_P_RNA from 1 species
AGAGUUGGCUGGACAGUCGCCGUAUCGCUUUGCGGUAGGGAGGAAAGUCCGGGCUCCAUAGGGCAGAGUGCCAGGUAAUCCCUGGGGGGCGUGAGCCUACGGAAAGUGCAGCAGAGAGCAGACCGCCGAUGGCCCCGCAAGGGGAUCAGGUAAGGGUGAAAGGGUGCGGUAAGAGCGCACCGCG